GGGGAUUUAGCUCAGCGGCAUGAGCGCCUGCCUUGCAUGCAGGAAGUCGUGAGUUCAAUCCCUG
rfam:Cavia porcellus supercont2_16 genomic scaffold, whole genome shotgun sequence.